rnacentral:rRNA from 1 species
UACGGAGGGUGCGAGCGUUGUCCGGAAUCAUUGGGCGUAAAGGGCGCGUAGGUGGCCCGGUCAGUCCGUGGUGAAAGCGCGGGGCUCAACCCUGCGUCGGCCAUGGAUACUGCCGCGGCUCGAGCACUGUAGAGGCAGGCGGAAUUCCGGGUGUAGCGGUGGAAUGCGUAGAGAUCCGGAAGAACACCGGUGGCGAAGGCGGCCUGCUGGGCAGUAUGGCUGACACUGAGGCGCGACAGCGUGGGGAGCAAACAGG